UCUAAAAAAAAAAAAAGACCAAGUAAUAUUGUCCCUCACUGUGCUACAGAGGGUACAUUCAUAGAGGCUAGGGAGUAUCCUUCAGCAAAGCCCAGACUAAUUACACCUAAAAUUCUCACUCUCCAUCUUCUGUCCUUGUCUUUCUUUAGUUCUUGUGACCAUUCCCAUCAGUGGAGAUGGCUGGUGUCUCAGAGAUGCAUCAUGGCCUUCUCCACAAACUCUAACUACGCUUGCAGAGGCCACUUCAAGUCUUUACAGGGUCGAGGAGAUUCCACCAACCACCCAGGAGAGGCACUGACUGAGAAAGCCUUCCCAGCUGCAGCGUCCCUCGGCUUUUCGCUUCAGCUUCUCACCAAGGGAGCUAUUCAAAUGCCUUCGUCGUCAACUGAGUCCUGAGGCCCAAGCUGUGUGAGUUUCAGACUAACCAGGGCUGCAUAUUGAGACCCUGCCUCAAAAGGAACAGCAAAACCCAAAGACUGGCCUGCAAUAUGUCUCUGGGCAGAGGUGCUCACUACAAGCCAAGCCUGAAGACUGGAGUCAGUCUCUCAGACCCCCACGAUGGAAAGAGAGAAGAAAGAGCUCCAUAAAGUUGUCCCCUGAUCACCACAGGCAGGCAGUGGCGUGCACCCCUCCCCUACUCCCCAAA